rnacentral:SRP_RNA from 13 species
ACCGGGCAUGGUGGUGCGUGCCUGUAGUCCCAGCUACUCAGAAGUCUGAGGUGGGAGGAUCACUUGAGCCCAGGAGUUCUGGGCUGAAGUGAGCUAUGCCGAUUGGGUGUCUGCACUAAAUUUGGCAUCAGUAUGGUGACCUCCAGGGAGUGGGGAAACACAAGGUUGUCUAAGGAGGGGUGAACCGGCUUAGGUCAGAAAUGAGCAAGUCAAAACUCCUGUGCUGGUCAGUAGGGGGAUAGCACCUGUGAAUAGCCACUGCACUCCAGCCUGGGCAACAUGGCGAAACCCAGUCUCUA